rnacentral:rRNA from 1 species
GACGAACGCUGGCGGCGUGCUUAACACAUGCAAGUCGAACGGAAAGGCCCUGCUUUUGUGGGGUGCUCGAGUGGCGAACGGGUGAGUAACACGUGAGUAACCUGCCCUUGACUUUGGGAUAACUUCAGGACACUGGGGCUAAUACCGGAUAGGAGCUCCUGCUGCAUGGUGGGGGUUGGAAAGUUUCGGCGGUUGGGGAUGGACUCGCGGCUUAUCAGCUUGUUGGUGGGGUAGUGGCUUACCAAGGCUUUGACGGGUAGCCGGCCUGAGAGGGUGACCGGCCACACUGCGACUGUAGUACGGCCCAGACUCGUACCGGACGCAACGGAGGGGAGUAUUGCACCAUGGGCGGAAGCCUGAUGCAGCAUAGCAGCGUGCGGGAUGACGGCCUUCGGGUUGUGAACCGCUUUCGCCUGUGCCGAAGCGUGAGUGACGGUAAUGGGUAAAGAAGCACCGGCUAACUACGUG